UGCAGUCGACGAUGAAGCCCAGCUUGCUGGGUGGAUUAGUGGCGAACGGGUGAGUAACACGUGAGUAACCUGCCCUUGACUCUGGGAUAAGCACUGGAAACGGUGUCUAAUACCGGAUAUUUCAACUGACCGCAUGGUCUGGUUGUGGAAAGAAUUUUGGUCAAGGAUGGACUCGCGGCCUAUCAGGUAGUUGGUGAGGUAAUGGCUCACCAAGCCUACGACGGGUAGCCGGCCUGAGAGGGUGACCGGCCACACUGGGACUGAGACACGGCCCAGACUCCUACGGGAGGCAGCAGUGGGGAAUAUUGCACAAUGGGCGAAAGCCUGAUGCAGCAACGCCGCGUGAGGGACGACGGCCUUCGGGUUGUAAACCUCUUUUAGUAGGGAAGAAGCGAAAGUGACGGUACCUGCAGAAAAAGCACCGGCUAACUACGUGCCAGCAGCCGCGGUAAUACGUAGGGUGCAAGCGUUGUCCGGAAUUAUUGGGCGUAAAGAGCUCGUAGGCGGUUUGUCGCGUCUGCUGUGAAAACUGGAGGCUCAACCUCCAGCCUGCAGUGGGUACGGGCAGACUAGAGUGCGGUAGGGGAGAUUGGAAUUCCUGGUGUAGCGGUGGAAUGCGCAGAUAUCAGGAGGAACACCGAUGGCGAAGGCAGAUCUCUGGGCCGUAACUGACGCUGAGGAGCGAAAGCAUGGGGAGCGAACAGGAUUAGAUACCCUGGUAGUCCAUGCCGUAAACGUUGGGAACUAGAUGUGGGGGCCAUUCCACGGUCUCCGUGUCGCAGCUAACGCAUUAAGUUCCCCGCCUGGGGAGUACGGCCGCAAGGCUAAAACUCAAAGGAAUUGACGGGGGCCCGCACAAGCGGCGGAGCAUGCGGAUUAAUUCGAUGCAACGCGAAGAACCUUACCAAGGCUUGACAUAUACGAGAACGGGCCAGAAAUGGUCAACUCUUUGGACACUCGUAAACAGGUGGUGCAUGGUUGUCGUCAGCUCGUGUCGUGAGAUGUU
rnacentral:rRNA from 1 species